UCUGUGGAUAUGGAGUUUGUGGGGAUCUGUGUGUGGGGGCAGGGUGGUUGGAGUGUGUGAAGAGCUGUGGAUGUGUGGGUCUGUGUGUAUGGCAGUGCAAAGGGGGGUAUGGGUGCAUGUGUUUAGGGGGAUGUGCAUGUGGGACUUACCUUACGUGUAUGCACGCACAAACACACACACGCGCGUGCGCGUGCGCACACGCACGCAUGCACGCACUCUGUCCCUCCCUCAUUACUCUCUCUGUGUCUCUCUCCCCCUCCAUCAUUGCAGAGGCAUGCACACACACAUACACACACUCCUCCCACUCUUGGCCUUUGCGUACCGGCAUGGGCCCUAUGGUCCCACAGUCCAGCGAUGAAGCCAGAAGCCAUGUGGUUCUGGAGUGACUGGUGAGCCGGCAGAAAAGUUGGGAAACGGCAGCUACAGGUGGCAGGAGUGGCAGCAAGUGGGCAUGCAGGAACACAGCGACAAGCUGUGUGGGAGCACAGGACCCAUACUGGUGUCCUGGGACCAGCACCAGCAGGUCCCAGAAUGGGGUAGCAGAAGCACGGGGCUGAGUGGGUAGGGCUCUAUGGAGCCAGGCUGGCUGCCCUUUCUCCCUACUGGCACAACCUGGCCCAGCUCCAUAGAGCACCUGCCAGCCCGGGCUCUGCACUCCUGCCACCCUGCUGUGGACCCUGCUGGUGCUGGCCCCAGGACACCAGCAUGGGCCCCAUGCUCCCACCCAACUGUCUGCGCUCCUGCAUGCCCACUCACUCCCACUCUCCAUCGCCUGCCACCACUUUCACUGUUUUACUGCCCGCUGCCAUGGCACUCCAGCACCACAUGGUUCCUGGCUGCAUGGCAGCAACCGCGGGACUCAGCAGGAGCCAGCCUGGCCCCAAGGACUGGGGCAAUCACCCACAGUCCUCCCCUCCCUCGUUAUCUGUGUUGCCCUCUCAGGCAGAGGGAGGUGGGAACAGUCCCAGGCCAAAAGCCUCUGGUAGGCAGAGGCUUCUAGUUGUGGGGGCCAGGCCUGACAGGCCUUGCUGCUAGGCCCUGCCUCUGGCUUCCCCUGGGUCCUACUGCCCCUGGCUCCUGUCAUCUUUCACAGGCAGCCAGGAGCAGAUAAAUAUUAAUUUUCUAAAUUUUUUAGGGACUCUGCAGGCCUGAUAGAAUGGCCUGGUGGGCCGAAUCCAGCCCACAGGACAUAUUUUGCUGACCCCUGAACUAACAGAUUAAUUAGAAAACCUGAAUGUUGGCUAAAAGAAUAUCAUUUCUCAGGAUUAAACAGUCAAGUUCUAACUGAUAAGCUAUACAUGUGUGAUCUUUCAGACAACUAAGUAGUUUAACUUAGGGCUGUUUUUUGUAGUUGCAAAAUUAUUUUAUAGAGGCCAUUCUUAGGUAACUUCUGCAGGAACACUGCACAUGUACAUACAGAGCAUGUUUACACAUGAUGCUAUGUUACUAUGGUGACAGUGUCAAUGGGCAAAACCUGUGACCCUGCAGCUACGUCACCAUAGCAACAUGUCCCCCCCAUUAUAGUGCAUCACCAUACGCAAUGUAGUGCCUAAAAAUAACCGUGUGCAGUGUGCACAGUGCAAUACAGGCUAUUACUAUGCCAUUUUUUAGGACUUCCAAAAGGAAGUCCUAAAAAAUGGUGCAGUAACAAUGGCACCGCAAAUGUCAUAAAAACAAAAAUGCAAUCAAUGCUUUGACAACAGAGUAAGGUACAACAAAAGGAUCAGAGUCCUUACCUAUGCAUAGGCUGCCACAAGGCCCUCUUGAAAAUUCCUGUGAAAAUCUCCCAGGGUCAAUCGCCCCUCAGUCACAGCUUCAACUGGGGACCUGCAUUCCCCACUCUUCCUGCAGGGAGCCUCCUCUACCAGCCACUGCCUCCAGAACAUUCCAUAUUGCCUCCCCCACCACCCAUCUUCAGGGGUGCCAGAGAAUACUUUUGAGUGUUGCUGCCUGUGGACCCGUGACAGUGGUGUUCUGCCUUUCUGCUCCCCUUUGAAAAAUCCUCCUCAAAAGCUGUUGGACACAUUCUUGGGAUUAAACUUUAUAGAGUAAAAAACCAUUUGCUCCAAAAAUCAUAAAUGUGGGGUUCAGUGUUCAAACAAAAAUCCCAUUCAUUGAGUCAAUGGGAUUUAGGCUCUUAAAUAAUGUACACACAUUUGAAAAUUUUACCCUCAAUCUGAAAACACUAAAACUAAUUGAAGUGUUAAUGGGCGUUUGUAGGCAACACAACAUUUAGUCCUUGUUAAUUAACUGCGCCUUUAAAAUUCUAGCCUGGAUUACUUUGGUGCGCUGUGUUUGUGUUUGAACGACAUGGUUUUUCAAGCGACAUAAGUCCCGUGUGUCAUUCCCUGCAGAUUCCAGCAGGGGGAGCCAAAUACCAAUCUACGUCCUCCCCACCCCCAAUGUCUUUCUUAAUGAAUUACAGCAGGAAGCACAUGUUAAGCAGCCUCCACAGUUCCUGCCUCUAGCCCCACCCCACCCGUAGUCUCCUGCUAAGUUCCCCCCACCCUGCAGUUGGGCACAUUCACCCCAAAACCCUGCCAUUUGCACCCACCUAAGCUAAGUCCCCCCCUACCCCGCAGCUGGGCACAUUCACCGGAAAACAACCCUGCCACUUGCACCCUUCCAUCCACGGGGUGAGACAGACAGGCACAGAUGUAAAUUGUAAAAGAAUUUAUUGUAAUCUAACCAAAAGAAAGAACAAAGCACUGCUAUUCUAUGCUCCCAAGCAAUCCCAUACUUGCGCCACCUCUCCCAACCAGCCUCUCCUGAGGAUGUCUCCUCGGUCCCUGUACUGCUUGCAAAAUCCACCUGGGAAGCCACCAGACACUUUGCAAAGUCUCCUACAGAGGCUGAUGCCUGGCCAGUCUGCUCUGCCUCUGGGGCUUGCAUCUGACUGUCCUGCACAGACCCCAGAACUUUGGCACAAAACCCAGAAACUUUGCGCACACACAGCUUCCUGCCACUUUUCCCGCCUUUUCACACUCUUUUCCACCCUGGCACCAAACUGUCUGGGUUUUUUUCACACCAAAAUGAGGCCGGGUGAGGGGGCGGAACCUGCCCCAUUCAAGGCCUGUAAAUUUCGGGAACAGUAGUCACACUGCACGUUCGUAGUAUCGACAAGAGAGGGGAGGCGGAUGAAACGUGGCUAAACACCAGACGCAGAAAAAAUGGGAAUACAGCAUUCAACAAGACUGCAGGCCACAGAACUGGGGUGCAGGAAAUCGUCAAGUCCCUGGAUGAGCGCAGCUUUAGGAUGUGUGAAAGAAAGCGGCACCGCUAGGUAUUCAUUGGUAAGUGAGGGUGGAGGGGGUCGAUUGUUUACUUCAACUUUCUUGUAAAACCGGUUUGUUGGAAUGUUUUAUUUGUAGCUGGUACACGUUGGUUUUCAGUAAAAAAUCCUAUCCUGUUUUUCUGUGCUUUCAUGGUAGCUCUAUAGUGGCUGCUCCUGGAAGAGAAAAAGGCCAUUUCCUUCAGCAUUCUCUGAACUAUAUGCCAUAGUACCAUUCCCUUCCUAGCUGCAUGCUGUUCCCAGAGCAGCAAGAGAAGAUAAAGAAGUGGAAGAGCCUAAGAGACACUUUGUUCAGCAUUCUCUGAAACAGUAUGCUAUUGCAUAGUAUAGCAUGUUUAUACUUAUAGUAGACUUUUAUUAUAUAGACUCAUAUAUAGACGUAUAUUGUAUAUACCCUGAUGUCUGUAGACUUAUACUAUAUAGACUGUAUAUUGUAGACAUAUACUAUAUAGAUUUAUAAUAAAUAUAAGUUGUUAUAAGUAGAAUAUAAUUAUAAUAUAAUAAUCAUACACACACAUACACACUUAUAUGUACAUUUAGGGAAAGAAUCUUUGGAGUUAGCAGUCAUUUUCUCUGAACUUCCUGACUGAUGUGUAGUUUCCUCCUCUUGGGGGAAGAAAAAGGAGGUCACCCACUGUCAAUCCUUCCUCUUAUAGCCAUGCUGCAUUACUCUAUGUCCUACCAGGGAGGUUAUUUAGUAACCCAUGUGAACCCAUGUAAACAUUUGUAAGUACAUUUGUAACCCAUGUAAACGAUGUAACCCAAAUGUAAACCAUGUAAUACAAAUGUAAGUACAAAUGUAACUCACUCUUGCUUUUGCUAUAAAAAAGAAAACCAAAUAAAGACAGUAAUGGAUUAACGGGUUGUUGAAAGACAA